GAGAUCCUAGUUACAAAAGCACCAUUGAUUGUUUCGUCAAAACAUUAAAAAUGAUGUAUGGUUUUUUCUGCUAUAUUACUUUUCCCUUUUCUUUUAUUUAAGCAUUAAUUGUAUAAAACAAAAUACUUCACAGAACUUGAUCAUAUCAAAUGAUAAGAGGUGGGUGCUUGGAGUAUUAUCUGCAACCAUUGCAAAUUGAACUAACAUCAUUUGAACUUUCAGUUUUCAUGGCAUCUUUAAACAUUCUCAUUUCUCACGCCUGCUUAUAUGCUAACAUAAAACUGUUCACUUUCAUUCUUACGUUACAUAAUAUGCUUUUUUUCUUUGCAACUCUCUGUUGUGGAAUGUGAAGGAAUUCUCCAAUAACUUAUUGUUUUAAUUGGAGAAAUAUUGAAAUCGGUAUGUCAUUUGAUUGUUUUGCAGGGACCUUUAGCCUUUUAUAAGGGAUUCUACCAAAUUCGACGGCUAGAUCUUGGAAUGUGAUCAUGUUUUUAACUCUCUAGAACAGGUAUGAGUUGAGUACCUUUGUGAUAAUCCAAAAUUUGGAUCAAAAUAAAAUAACAAUUUUUUAAUUUAAUCAAAACCAAACAUGUUCCAACUGUUGUUAUGAACGUACCCAAGGCAUUGAUAGUGACAAUUUAUCGUGUUAAUUGACUAUGUUCUUUGUUCUAACAUACAUUCUCACAAUUAACCUACAAAUUUUGCUGUUUUAAUUCCUAUGUUUUUUGUUUUGACGCAGACUAAAAAGUUUGUCAAAAGUUUGGAAUCGGCCUAAGCUCAACUAAGUAAGAGUAGAAUUUUAUGAGAAUGGUCUCAGGUGGUGGUGCUAACAGAAAUCACAGGAAAAUAAAACUUUUGUUCUCUUGAUUUUCCCUACUGGAAUGUGUGGGCAGUUUUGGGCGGAGUAGAAAUUAAGUAAUUAAGUAUUAAUAAAUGAUUAAACUUUUCAAGUAUGCUAGUUGUUAAAGUUUCAAAUCACUGUUUUAUUUCUUUGUAAUUUUCUUGCAAUUUUACUGAGCUGAAUAACUGUUAUGGGAAGUUUGACAAGAAACGCAACAAUACUAAGUGGCAACAUAUAUCGUUUAUAAAUCUAAUAAUCAUGCACUCUAUGUUAGUAGUAAUUUGGGUGAUCUUUGUUUCGUGGAAGAGUUAUAAUUGCUUUCUAAUUAGUAAAAGUCACACAUGAUGUCUCUAGAGUUUAAACAAGGCUCCUACAACCACAUAUCCUAGGAAUAUUGUC
rnacentral:lncRNA from 1 species